CAGCACCUCAAGUGGUCAGGAUGAUUAUUGGGCCUAAAGCAUCCGUAGCCGGCGCUGUAAGUUUUCGGUUAAAUCUGUACGCUUAACGUACAGGCUGCCGGGAAUACUGCAGCGCUAGGGAGUGGGAGAGGUAGACGGUACUCGGUAGGAAGGGGUAAAAUCCUUUGAUCUAUUGAUGACCACCUGUGGCGAAGGCGGUCUACCAGAACACGUCCGACGGUGAGGGAUGAAAGCUGGGGGAGCAAACCGGAUUAGAUACCCGAGUAGUCC
rnacentral:rRNA from 1 species